AGUCAUCAACCCUUCCCGUUUUGCUGCGGGACGGGGUUGGAUGUUGGGGGACUGCUGCCGUGAGGCGGCUCCCCUCAAAUCUCUCGGUGGGGCCUGUGGGUCAAACUCGACUGGGCGUUGUACCAUCCUCGCUCGACUGGGUCUACCCCGUUCCGCGCCCCUCCCCGACCUGCCCGUGCGGUGCGGCAGGUCAAGCUUUUGAA
rnacentral:misc_RNA from 1 species